UUUUUUUUUUUUAGUAAUAACCCAAUACUUUGCCUGGAUUGGGAUUUGGGUCUAAUGACCCAGCACACUUGUCAUCAAUUUUUUUAACCGAAUUAAAAGUAGUAACAAUUUAGUCAAUGCAAAGAAAAUACACAUGCGCCAUUAAUUCAUCGAUUCCCAUCACCCCUUCUUUCAACACAAACUUCACAACAAUGGUUAACAAUAACAAGAAAUCUCACUGACUUUACAUACUUUUUGGAGAAGAGAAACAAGCAGAGGAAUCUGAUAAAUACAGUAACAGUUUUUAGGAUUUCGAAACUAAAUACAUAAAAUACAUUCUCAUGGAAGAUCAUACAUUCGCAAUUUUUAAAAGUACUAUGAAACAUACCUUAAUCGAUCAAUCAGCGACUCUUUGUCGACCUUUUGCAGUGAAUAGGCCAGAUAUGGAAGCAGCGAUUCAUGUUAGUCUGUCAGAAGAACGUAAGUGACCCGAUUUUGCAUGGGCUAAACCCCACUUUUGGUUAAAGCCCAUUAGCAGUGUUGCCUGGGUUCAACAAAUAUUUACUUUAUAAUUUUAGAGGAAUGACCUUAUCAUUGGUACUUACUACUAUGUCAACAUUUCUAUGUAAUCAUCAAUUACAUCCUUUUUAUAUUAUGUCACAUGACAAUGCAUCAUUAGACUAUUUUAAUUUUUGAUAGUCUUUCCCCUGUCAACACUUGACACCGCUUGUAAUGUCAACAAAAUAGUGUACACAUGACUUUUUCUUUCUACGUUAUGUAACUUGUAAUCAUUUGUUAUAGUCAAAAUACUUUGAAAAGAAUUAGUCCAACAUUUAGAGAGUGUUUGGUUGUUUAUAUUUCCGUGAGACAUUUUUCACUAUACUUUUUACUUUUUAAGUGUUAGAUGGACAAUUUUUUAUUUUUCAACUUUUGCUUAUGUGAUCAUAUAUAUACAUAUAUAUAGGAGUGCAUUUUCUUUAGAUUGAAGUGAUUUUUUUUUUCAGGUAAUUCACUCUCUCUUUCUCUCUCGUCUACCAAUCAAUAUAAAAAUAGAUAAGUAUAAUAUUUUUUUAGGUUGAAAACUAAAUCAAUCAAACACAUUUAGGCCCCGUUUGAUUUUAUUUUUUCAAAAAAUACAUUAUUCAAUAGUGAUUUGACAUAAUUUCAACCAUACACUUUUCAAAAAAAUAAUAUUACAUGCAAAUCCAAAAAUUUUUCCUUAUUUUUUUUAAUAACAUAUUUUCCAUAAAUACACUAUUCAAAAAUGCAAAAUACAUUCUUUUGAAAAUAAUGUGACUCAAACAAUGGCUUAAUUAAUAAUUUUCAUACAAACAAUUGAAUUGCCCAAAAAAUAUUUUAUUUUCAUACAAAUUUCAUGCUUUUAAUCAAACCCACCCUUGGUUUAUUUUGUAGUACUAAAUAAUUAUUUUAUAGACUUAUUAUGUUAGGAAAAAAAUUAAUUUUAAUUAAGAUAAAUUGUAUAUCAUUACACAUAAUUUUGGGUCGAUAACUAAUAAUGAUUCGUAUAUCUUAAAAAUGGGAAUAAUUUUGUUAAUAUAAUAUACAAAAUUAAACAAUAAAAAAUAUAUCCAUUAUAACUAAUAAUGCCCUUGUUUGAGCCCCAUUUUUUUGGGGUAGAAUGAAUUUUUGAAUAGUGUAUUGAUUGGAAAUGUGUGGUUAAAAAAUAGGAAAUUUUUUGGAUUUACCUGUAAUAUUGUUUUAUUAAAAAUGUGUUGUUGAAAUGAUGUCAAAAUACUGUUGAAAAAUGAAUUUUUCCAAAAGAAUUGGGCUCAAACAAGGGCAAUGAGUUCACAAAAUCAUUAAUUUAAAGAUAUAAAAAUAAAUUCUGACAAAUAACUUAAAAAUUCUAACUUAAAAAUCGUUAAUUCAAAGAAGUAUUUUAAUUAAACUUUUUUUAUUUUUUUUUUAUUUUAAGUAAUAACCCAAUACUUUGCCUGGAUUGGGAUUUGGGUCUAAUGACCCAGCACACUUGUCAUCAAUUUUUUUAACCGAAUUAAAAGUAGUAACAAUUUAGUCAAUGCAAAGAAAAUACACAUGCGCCAUUAAUUCAUCGAUUCCCAUCACCCCUUCUUUCAACACAAACUUCACAACAAUGGUUAACAAUAACAAGAAAUCUCACUGACUUUACAUACUUUUUGGAGAAGAGAAACAAGCAGAGGAAUUUGAUAAAUACAGUAACAGUUUUUAGGAUUUCGAAACUAAAUACAUAAAAUACAUUCUCAUGGAAGAUCAUACAUUCGCAAUUUUUAAAAGUACUAUGAAACAUACCUUAAUCGAUCAAUCAGCGACUCUUUGUCGACCUUUUGCAGUGAAUAGGCCAGAUAUGGAAGCAGCGAUUCGUUCAAGUCCUUGAUUUUUUCUUCCUUCUUCCUAGUUCGGUUGUGCGAGUAUUUGAUUUCUUGUUCCUUUUUCUGGUUUUUUCUUCCGUUUUAAUGGUUUUGUUUCAAUGGUGUGUGGUGAGAGAGGAUUUUGUACGUGGUGAAGAGAAGGGGAAGAUUGGAUAUGUGAGUAGGUGGAGGACUUGAUAAAAUAGAAUUUUU
rnacentral:lncRNA from 1 species